UCCGAGGACAACAUAGUAAGGGAUGCUCAUUCAUCUCUCUGCCAGUGCUUUCUGCGGUCUCUUCAGCUAGUUCUAUCAGGCACUUCUGGCAAUCUGGAGCGGCAGCCGGCUGGGCGGCGAGGAAACCGCUGCACGGAUCCCGCCUCCCAGCACACGCAGUCGGCAGUUGCAGCCUCCAAGACCGCGGUGCCACCAAACCAAGCGCCGGACGCGGUGGCGCGCGCCUGUAAUCCCAGCUCCCCGGGAGGCUGAGGUCGGCGGAUCGUGGGUGCUCGGGGGUUCGGAGCUACGGCGCUGUGUGGAGCGGGCGUCCGCACCGGGCCUGGCACCAACAUGGUACUCCCGGGGGAGCCCGGGAGUACCAGGUUGUCUAAGGAGGGGGGGACCAGGCCCAGGCCGGACACGGAGCAGGUCAAACUCCCCGUGUUGGGCGACGGUGGGACCGCGCCUGCGAGCAACGCCUGCAGUUCCGCCCGGGACAUCCGACGAGACCCGGUCUCUUUUAACUUCCCUUUUCGGGAUUUCUUUUAAAAAAUCAACAGCAUUAUUUCUGCAUACCAAGUCCUUGAUCUCUGUGGCUGUGAGACGAUGAAUCUAGGGUGUCACCCCAGACAACGAGGCUGCUUCAAAAUCCCAAAGUCCAAAGGAGGACUGCUUCAUAAGGGAAGGAUUGUUUAUAGGUUGGUAUACUGUGCAAAAUUAAGUAUAGGACCAAAAACAGCCAAGACAUUUGAAAGUUGGAAAGUUGAUGGUAAUGGUUUCCUGGGAUUGGAAGGCAGACCUCCUCCGCUGAUGAGCAAAUAAUGAGGAAACUUCCCUUCAGUUCACCGGCCGUGCCUCUCUCUAUCCUUUUCCUCGGAGCAGGCUGUGCUAUGAUCAAGGCAUUGUGACCCCUGUGACCCACACGUACACAUCCAGAAGGUCUCCUGGAGCCAGAAAGUCUGGGACAACAGGAAAACCACAAAAGAAGAAAAACAGCUCCUGUCUUAGCUGAUUAGCCAACCUUGCGACCUUCUACCAUUGUAACAUGCUCUACCCUAACUGAUCAAUCAACUUCGUGACACUGUGCUCUGUGACCCCUCCCACCUUGUGAUAAUGUACCUUGUGACAUUCUUCCCUUGCCCGCAAUAAACGGGCCCUUAUUGUAUCUUUCCACUGCUUACUCCUAACCUAUAAAACUAGCUGCAAUCCCACCACCCUCCGGUGGUGGGACUCCCUUUUCGGACUCAGCCCGCUCGGACCAGAGUGAAUAAACAGCUUGUUGCUCACACUUAGCCUGUUCAGGUUGUCUCUUCAGUUAGACGCGCGCAUAACACUAACAAUUCACUUAAUAAAUAUUUAUUGAGGGAACAGAGGUCGCAAAUAAAAUGUAAUUAGUAUUGCUCAAGAUUAAACUUCUUUCAGCACGUUUGCCUUUUCUUCUUUUAUCUAGUGAGAUGUUGAAACCCAUACCUAGAGUUCUGCUACAGAAAUAAACGUAUCCCACAGUGUUCUUGCGAUUUCCUUUAUGAAUUUGAGAAAAAUAUGACCCC
rnacentral:lncRNA from 1 species